ACUCCUACGGGAGGCAGCAGUGGGAAUAUUGCACAAUGGGCGCAAGCCUGAUGCAGCCAUGCCGCGUGUGUGAAGAAGGCCUUCGGGUUGUAAAGCACUUUCAGUCGUAGAGGAAGGCUAGUGUAGGUUAAUAGCUGCAUUAUUUGACGUUAGCGACAGAAGAAGCACCGGCUAACUCCGUGCCAGCAGCCGCGGUAAUACGGAGGGUGCGAGCGUUAAUCGGAAUUA
rnacentral:rRNA from 1 species